ACCUUCGGGCCUGGCGCGAAUGAAUGAGCCGAUGCCCGAUUAGCUAGUUGGCGGGGUAAGAGCCCACCAAGGCGACGAUCGGUAGCUGGUCUGAGAGGAUGAUCACCCACACUGGAACUGAGACACGGUCCAGACUCCUACGGGAGGCAGCAGUGGGGAAUAUUGGACAAUGGGCGCAAGCCUGAUCCAGCCAUACCGCGUGGGUGAAGAAGGCCUUCGGGUUGUAAAGCCCUUUUGUUGGGAAAGAAAAGCAGCUGGUUAAUACCCGGUUGUUCUGACGGUACCCAAAAAAUAAGCACCGGCUAACUUCG
rnacentral:rRNA from 2 species